AUGGGAAGCGGCAGAAUGGGCAGGCACAGGGAGGGGCAGAGUGGAGAGCCCUGAACUGGGACAGAGUGGGCAGGCGCAGGCCAGGUCAGAGUAGGCAGGCACUGUGACUGGGCGUGCUUAGCAUUUAUACUCAGCAGAGAGGUCAGCUCCACAGAUCACUGCAAGAAGUCCUAGGAGUCACUCCAGCGGAAGAGACACUCCGGGGAGCAUGAUCGUCAUGCACUUGGUUGGGCAUCCUCAGCUGACAGGGACGGAAGGUGUGGCCACUGCUCACACCAAGGAGAACUCAUCCAGGGGCCCAAGAGAGACCAGGGAGCCUGCUCCUUGCACAAGGUCCUGGAGGAGCCGCUUCCAGAGAGCUGUGGCACGAGUGUCCAAGUUCUUCAGGAGAAGACGCCGAUCAACCUGAAGCUGAGACCAGUGGAAUCCUAGAUACUGGGCCGGGCCAAGGACUGUGAUCAAGAUCAUUGGCUGCGCAGCUCCUUGCUGUCCCAAGAAUCUUGUCCAGUGAUGUUGAAAUAAAUGCUGGCAGACUUUCAAAUUUUCUUUGACUGUGUGAAAUUUCCUUCACUUUCCACAGUGAUACUCACCUUAG
rnacentral:lncRNA from 1 species